ensembl:lincRNA 1700104B16Rik RIKEN cDNA 1700104B16 gene
GACCGGAGCGCGCUCAAAGGCUGCCGGUCCAAAGGAGAGUCCAAUUCUUCAAACUUCAAAUGACAGUCCGAAGAUCCACUAGUUAACUUAAUCUGGACUAUACGAGGAGUUCUAACAACUGACAAAAGACGGCGGCAUUCCUCCGGAACUUGUGAAGCUCUAGUUCCUGUCUAGGAAAAUGACUCAUUUCCUUUACCUCCAGCAAAAGUGACUUAUGGCUCUCAAUUAACAUAUCAGCACAAGGUGCAAGCCUGGCAGCCUCCAGACUCCCUCAGUCCCUACAAGCACUUAUACAUUUCAAAGCCUGCUCACCAGUCCCCUGGCCCUUCCCACCCACCGAUAACGCAUUCUUCUUGUUCACUCUUCUCCGCUCCUGCUGCUGCUUUUCUCAAUAAGCUUCCCCUAUUUUCUAUCAGUGGCCAUUUUCCUGUUUCUUGUAGACAGUCCUGGCAAAGCCCAGUCUGCUGCGCAUGGUCAAUCUACUACUUUCUCUCUCUGCCCUGGACUCUCCAGAUCCCUGUGGCUGUUCUCGCUCUCAUGUCUCCAAUAAAAACCUUAACCAUAA